rnacentral:rRNA from 1 species
GACGAACGCUGGCGGCGUGCUUAACACAUGCAAGUCGAACGGAAAGGCCUUAAUUUGUGGGGUGUUCGCGUGGCGAACGGGAGAGGAAAACGUGAGUAACCAGCCCUUGACUUUAGGAUAACUUUAGGAAACUGGGGCCAAUUCCGGAGAGGCAUCCCCGCCGCAUGGAGGGGGCUGGAAAGUUUCGGCCGUGGGGGAUGGACUCCGGGGUUAUCAGCUUUUUGGUGGGGUAGUGGCUUACCAAGGCUUUGCCGGGUAGCCGGCCUGGGAAGUUGAACGGCCACAAUAGCACUAUGAUACGGCCCAGACGCGUACGGGAGGUAGCGGUGGGGAAUCUUGCACAUAGGGCGGAAGCCUGAUAAAGCAACGCCUCGCGCGGGAUGACGGCCUUCGGGAUGAAAAACGCUUUCGGCUGUUACGAAGCGUGAGUGACGGUAAUGGGUAAAGAAGCACCGGCUAACUACGUG